ACAGUAGGCUUCAAGGCUUGCCUGCUACAACAAGAAACCUACCAUCACCUCUCAAGAGAUUCGGGCCGCUGUUCGACUAGUUCUUUCUGGUGAAUUGGCAAAACACAUUGUCUCAGAGGGAACCAAGGCCGUCACAAAAUUCACUAGCUCUUAGAAAUUGGGUUGUUUUUUCCCCUUUUGAUUUUUCCAGAUUAGAUACAAUUUCAUUACAGAAGGCAGGUGUGAUCGCUUUGAGAUUUUGGGAAUUUCGAUCUGAUGUGUAAUUAGGGUUUCUUUGAGGUGAUUGUUCCCUCUCCUUGAGGAUCGAUCUCAUGCUGUAAAUCUCUCUCUUUUCUUAAAUUUCUAGAACAUUCAACUCCUUUUUCUCCUACAAUUUUUCCUUCAAA